rnacentral:rRNA from 1 species
AUUGAACGCUGGCGGCAGGCCUAACACAUGCAAGUCGAACGAGUGGCGGACGGGUGAGUAAUGUCUGGGCAACUGCCCGAUGGAGGGGGAUAACUACUGGAAACGGUAGCUAAUACCGCUUACCAUCGGUUGUGCCCAGAUGGGAUUAGCUAGUAGGUGGGGUAAAGGCUCACUUAGGCGACGAUCCCUAGCUGGUCUGAGAGGAUGACCAGCCAAACUGGAAAUGGGACACGGUCAAGACUCCGACGGGAUGCAGCAGGGGGGAAUAUUGAGCAAUGGGCGCAAGCCUGAUGCAGCCAGGCCGCGUGUGUGAAGAAGGCCUUCGGGUGGUAAAGCACUGUCAGCGGGGAGGCGUUACCCGCAGAAGAAGCACCGGCUAACUCCGUGCCAGCAGCCGCGGUAAUUC